rnacentral:rRNA from 1 species
GAUGAACGCUGGCGGCGUGCCUAAUACAUGCAAGUCGAGCGAACGGACGAGAAGCUUGCUUCUCUGAUGUUAGCGGCGGACGGGUGAGUAACACGUGGAUAACCUACCUAUAAGACUGGGAUAACUUCGGGAAACCGGAGCUAAUACCGGAUAAUAUUUUGAACCGCAUGGUUCAAAAGUGAAAGACGGUCUUGCUGUCACUUAUAGAUGGAUCCGCGCUGCAUUAGCUAGUUGGUAAGGUAACGGCUUACCAAGGCAACGAUGCAUAGCCGACCUGAGAGGGUGAUCGGCCACACUGGAACUGAGACACGGUCCAGACGCCUACGGGAGGCAGCAGUAGGGAAUCUUCCGCAAUGGGCGGAAGCCUGACGGAGCAACGCCGCGUGAGUGAUGAAGGUCUUCGGAUCGUAAAACUCUGUUAUUAGGGAAGAACAUAUGUGUAAGUAACUGUGCACAUCUUGACGGUACCUAAUCAGAAAGCCACGGCUAACUACGUG